AUGGCUUAAAAAAAAUGACAAGUAACCAGCAAUGGACUGUGAAAGCCACCAGGUGCAUGCAAAGGUCAUCAUAAUCCACUGAAAACUACUUUUCAAAGCAAGGAGCAAUUUUCUGUUAUAAAAACAAAGUCUGGUGGAUACAUCUUUUAUUAUACUAUUAAAAGAACUAGCACAGAAAAAAAAUGCCUGGCAUGGCUGAGAAUAAAGGCCCCAGCACAGCUACUGGUAGAGGCGGUCUUGCUGGGCACGCCUCCUUCUAAAGGCUUGGCCUGGCACAGCUAACACAAGAGGCUCAGUCCAGCUGGAGUCUGAGCAGAGUCCUAGUCUGGCUAAGGUUAUAGCAAAUGGGCAACUUGGCCUGGCAAAGAGAAGCAGCUUGUGGCUGCAGGAGAGGAAGAAAUGGAAAUGUUUCCAUUAUAAUUAAAUUUGCAAAGCAGCCAAGAAAGAGGAAUAGUGCACUGUGAACGGCAUCCUGAAUAUGAACUGACUGACCGUGUACCAGACCAUAUCAGACACAGUUUGUUAAUAGUUUUCAGAAUGUACUAACUGAUUCGUGGGCAAAACAGCUCAGUGCAGGACUGGGUUGUUAUUCGGACACAAGAGUAGACAGAAGCAAAAGAAGAGCUUAAAACGGAGUCCAUUUUUGUGUUUCACCGGAACAACAAACAAACAACAACCCCUAACAUUCCAAACUGUGCUCUCAUUUAAUGAAAACACUCGACCCAAAGCGCAUUUAAAACCUCGCACAUCUGGGGACGUUGCAGGGAAGAAGGGAUGGGAGACAGGAGGCUAGAAGAGGUAUACAAUUUAAAAGGUUUGUUGCCCCAAAGCUGCUUCUUUAUUUUGAAAAAAGUAAUGAAAAGAUUUUGUGGCGUCCUGCUGCUUUAGAAAAGGCACGGGCUUUGUGCACUGAGGAGGAAGCGGAGAGCUGGGGACUUUGCUGGGCUGCAGCUCCUAGGCUCGGUUCCUGUCCGCUAGAUGGCAGCCGGAUCCAGCGAUUCCAUUACUAGACAGUUGGAAGAGAG